rnacentral:rRNA from 1 species
UACGUAGGGACCGAGCGUUGUCCGGAAUCAUUGGGCGUAAAGAGCUCGUAGGCGGUUUGUCGCGUCGGCUGUGAAAACUCGGGGCUCAACCCCGAGCCUGCAGUCGAUACGGGCAGACUAGAGUGCGUGUAGGGGAGACUGGAAUUCCUGGUGUAAGCGGUGAAAUGCGCAGAUAUCAGGAGGAACACCGAUGGAGCGGAAGGCAGGUCGUCUGGGCAUUAACUGACGCUGAGGAGCGAAAGCAUGGGGAGCGAACAGG